UCUGGGAAUGGCAGAGUCCCUUCAAGGGCAGUCAGAGGGCUGAUGCAGUGGCCGCUUCUAGUUCACGCCCCCACCCCAGAGCGACCACGGCGAUGGCCCCGGGGUGGGGGGAGGGCUCCCUGGGGAUGCGGAGCCGAUGUCCUGGGCAAGAACCACCGAGGGGCUGAUGGAGGAAAGGAGAAGGACUUUGCUUUUACUUUCUUUGUUCUUCAGUUUUUCAAGAGUCUCCAGCGGCAGUUCUUCCCUUUGCACUCCUGUGAGCAGCGCUAAAAUUAAAUACCGCUUUCCAGUAGCUGCGGUGGGAAUUGAAUUUUGCAUCUUUUAUGAGAUCCUUUGGAAAUGACCUUGAAAGAGAGGAGAAGCUCCGUGGUAGAAAACGUUGUCAAGAAAACAGCGACUCUCGAAAACGGUUUCAACAUUUUUUUUUUCCUGCCUCUGGAUUUAUUUAUACAAACAACACAGGAGGACACCAGUGCCCAGAGACAGGGGCUCAGGGGUCAUGCCAGUCCUCUGUCCUCACAUUCACACAGGCUUCUAUUAUAGAGCCUUCGCAGGGACCUGGGCACCCUUGGGGGCAGGAGCCGGAGCCGGAGCCGGAGCCGAGGCUGAUACUGGAGUUGCAGCCUGGGUCUGGCUUGGGCUGUGGCCUUUGGCUGGCAGAGCCUGCGUUCCCUGGCCAUGUGGGCACAGCACUCUUCCCGUGCUUGGGAUGGGCAAGCAAGGCAGGGCGGUCGAGCUUGCGGCUGGCACCCUGUAGCAUCUUGGGCUUAACCUCUCAGGCUUCACCAGGGCCUUGACGGCCUCAGCACGUGCACUCAGGGCCUUGUCUGCCUGCAUCUUUUCCAGGCCCUUCUUGUUGUGCAUAUUUCUCGGGAACUUGGGGUCUACCCACUAAGAGAUUCUACCCCCUAUCUCUGUAAUCGGGGUUUCUUGAUGCCAUUUCUGUGCCAUUUUCGGGGAUUGGUUGUGCGUGGCGUGGUUCUUGGACUUGGCCGUGUCUGCACCGUCAGCUGCUGCUCCCAGAGCGGUUGAGACCGGAAGAAGAGCGGCUUCAAUAUUUUUAAAUUGUGGGUUUUAUGUAAAGUCAGGCAAAGUUCAAGUGCACGAGAAAGGUCCCUAUAGUAGCCAAAAAAAAAUAAAUAAAUAAAUAAACAAAAUUUCAAGCAAGAUCAUGUUGCACGACUUGAAGAACUUCUAUAAACUUCCAGCUUAGGCAGGAAUCCAUGUUUGCUCUCUUCCUGGGUCUAUCUUGGACCUGAACCCCUGGGAAUCUCUGGCCUGCAAACUGCAAUUUUAUGUGGUUGUAGGCCAGUUUGAAAAUGUCUAGAAAAUCAUUGGGACCAUGUGUUUAGAAAUCAAGAGAUGGGGCUGGGGAUACGGCUCAGUUGGUAGAGUGCUUGCCUCGCAAGCACAA